rnacentral:lncRNA from 12 species
GGCACUUUGCAGAUGGGGCAUGUGGCUAGAGGAGCCGUCGUGGGUGUGCGCGGCUGCCUCAGCCCCCAGCUAGGCAGGGGCAGGAAAACCAGCGGAGCUCACGCUCUCUGUGGCCCGACGGCAGCAGCCCGCGUUGCCCCGUGUGACUAUUUGCAAACCAAGAACGGAGACAAGAGGCAGCCCGAGGCCUGCACAGAGCUGCAGACUGUCUCCACGCAAUGCCUUGGAGCGCAGCUCCCCCCUCCUCUCCUCCGUCCCCACGGCCUCCCCAGCUCUCGCCUCCUCUUCCCUCUGUUCUCGUGCACAGAGCACACGGCUGCCGUCUCCCUGCGGUGGACACACUCUGCGCGUCGGCCACACCAUCGCCCUUUGCAGUUCAGUCAGCUGUGGACCCAGAGCCUGGCCCCCAGGCCUUGGCGGAGGAGAGGCCCCGCGGCGAGGGUGGGCGCACCAGGCUGAGCUCCCACAGCGGGCAGCGACCCUCUGCCUCUCAUCUGGCGGGAACCGUGGGCCUCCUCUUGGAGGAAGAAGAACGUUCGACGGCAGAGAACUUCUCAACCGUCGCGGGGCGGGUGCGAGGACUUCCACUCACACAG